AAACUUGUUUUUAUAGGUGUUGUACAUGUGUAUUACAGCAGCGAAUGUAUUUGACAAAGCUUUAAAAACAGGCUGCCACAGUGAACUGGGAUAUUUAAAGCAAUGCAAUUCUUCAAGAAUGGCAAUGACAGUCCAUGGACAGUACAUGCAACAUGCUUUAACGCCAGUGAUGAGUAGUAACGUACCUGUAGCAGUACACCAUGAUAAUUCUGCAGUAACAUUCGGUGGUCACAGUUUUGUAUACCCCCAAGUUCCCGUACUGCCACAACACUGCGGUAGCAUAAUGAGCAACACACAUUCUCACCCAUUAAAAGAAACGCCGGAAAAAGACGACGACGCUGUUAAACUGUUUAUUGGUCAAGUGCCAAAGAAUUGGGAGGAAAAAGAACUACGUCAAGUGUUUGCACCGUUCGGUGAAAUAUUCGAACUUUCGGUUUUACGAGACAAAUAUACAGGCAUGCAUAAAGGCUGUGCUUUUCUUACAUAUACCCAAAAGACUUCUGCUAUGAACGCACAAAACAGUCUACAUGAAAGAAAAACACUUCCGGGGAUGAAUCAUCCUAUUCAAGUCAAACCAGCAGAUACUGUGAGCAAAGGAGCAGAAGAUCGAAAAUUAUUCGUUGGUAUGCUCGGUAAAAGACAGAACGAAGACGACGUGCGCAUUUUAUUCGAGCCUUUCGGUACAAUUGAAGAGUGCACUAUAUUAAGAACUCCAGAAGGUCAAAGCAAAGGCUGUGCGUUUGUAAAGCUAUCGUGUCAUCAAGAAGCUAAAUCUGCCAUGGAAGCUUUGCAUGGGAGCCAGACUAUGCCGGGGGCGUCUUCGAGUCUUGUUGUGAAAUUCGCCGACACGGAUAAAGAACGAGCAGUUCGUCGAAUGCAACAGAUGGCUCAAACCUAUGGUCUUAUCAGUCCAGUUCCACUGCAAAUAGGCACAUAUGGUCUACCAUAUGCACAACAGAACGUGGUGCCAGCCACACCAGGGUGGAAUUCGCUUGCUUCUCCCCAACCUGCUGCUAUUAAUGGCCUUGCACCUGCCGCUGCUACUGUUAUACAACAGCCGACUGUGAUACAUCACCAACACGCUACACCUAUGAGCGGGGUCCCUAGCACCCCCCAAAGCCCCGUAGCCCCCCUAACUACGCUUAACUUGCUCCCGCCCCCAUCCAGUGCUACUGCCUCGACCCCAGAAGGGGUUUACCCCAUUCAGGCCUACCCAGGUACCCAAGGGGUUGCACCCCGUGUGCCCGAGCAUGCCAGCACUCCAAUGUCUCAGUCACCACCUUCGAUCGAGUUGUCGCAAGCAUACGCUCAACCGCAGCCGUAUACAGUGGUAUAUGUACCUGCCCAAUCGUAUGGUGCGCCACAAUACGCACCAACUGUAGCACCUGUAGCACAAAGUAUUACGGCAAACCAACUGCAAACAAAUGCCCUGCUCGCCAGUAGCACGAACGCCCCACAAAAAGAAGGGCCUGAUGGUUGCAACUUAUUUAUCUACCACCUACCACAAGAAUUCUCCGACGCUGACCUGGCUAACGUUUUCCAACCGUUUGGGAAUGUUAUAUCGGCAAAAGUGUUCAUAGACCGAGCAACCAACCAAAGCAAAUGUUUCGGUUUCGUCAGUUUCGAUAACGCUAUUAGUUCCCAAGCUGCCAUUCAAACCAUGAACGGGUUUCAAAUCGGGAUGAAACGUCUGAAGGUUCAGCUUAAACGGCCAAAGGAGCAGAGUCGACCGUAUUAAUAUAUUCAUUUUUGUUUACAAUGCGCAUAAGAGUGUUUUCCACACCAAUGGUGUCCCACUGGGGAUAAAAUAUACUUUGGUUUCCAAACACAAAGUAUCAAGUGCGGGGCUUCCCCGGAAUUUUCGCAUAAAGGAUUUCUUAAGCCCAAGACGUUGAUUUACCUUCGUACACUAUGUACAUACAACAAUCAUCUUUUAUCUGGCUGCUCUCGACUGCCUCUAGCGGAUGGGAAUCGUGCAAUGCUAUUUUUAUUUGAACUGACUUCAAGCGCCGAGAAGCAUCGAAAUUCUGCUGAAUUUUACUGAAUUUUGUUGCUUCUAGUUCAGUAUUUUUGCGACUUUAUUUUUAGUGCUCAAUGCAACCGAGAUUUUACUUUUGUACAUACAACUAUCUAGUUUCUGCUUGAACCGCUGCUUUCUACACCACUUACCACCGUUUUUCGUCUUCAAUUGGUUUUCUAACCUAACGAGAUUUCUGAAUAAUGACGUCAUUGCGUAUGACGUCACACUGUGCUCGACUGUGAUUACGCAACACAUUCCACCAAACGUACUCAAUUUUAAAAUCAGUUCUAAAAUGAAAUUCCCCAUUAAUUUCCGAAUGAAGUAUAUAGUUCUCAAUUUUUGCUCGUUUUUUCCUUUUUUGUAUUUGCAGUUUUUAUCUUUCAAAAUCGCGAAGCUAUAUCACAUGUUAAAAUAUUUAUUACCCUCAUUUUCGUAUGCUGCUCUCCACCUAUUACUUGAGUCUAUUUUUAUAACUUAAAAGUGUUGACCAAAUUUAAUUCGAUUUUCCAAGCGGCAACACUGGGCAUUUUUUUGAACGCUUGCCAUUUUGAACGCUAUACGCACUGUGCGUUUCAUCGGUACUAGCUUGAAAACUCAAAUUUUUCACAUAUCAACACGUGUGCUGCUGUAACGAACUAAAUCGUCAUUUUAUUACUUCAUACUGACAGGUAUUUCUUGGUGCUUCGGACCUGUGUACAUAAAAGUGAGAGAAAAAUUACAAGAAUUAAGAGCACGUUG